rnacentral:rRNA from 1 species
GGGGAAUAUUGCACAAUGGGCGAAAGCCUGAUGCAGCAACGCCGCGUGAGUGAUGAAGGUCUUCGGAUUGUAAAGCUCUGUCUUUUGGGACGAUAAUGACGGUACCAAAGGAGGAAGCCACGGCUAACUACGCGCCAGCAGCCGCGGUAAUACGUAGGUGGCGAGCGUUGUCCGGAUUUACUGGGCGUAAAGGGUGCGUAGGCGGAUGUUUAAGUGAGAUGUGAAAUACCCGGGCUUAACUUGGGUGCUGCAUUUCAAACUGGAUAUCUAGAGUGCAGGAGAGGAGAAUGGAAUUCCUAGUGUAGCGGUGAAAUGCGUAGAGAUUAGGAAGAACACCAGUGGCGAAGGCGAUUCUCUGGACUGUAACUGACGCUGAGGCACGAAAGCGUGGGUAGCAAACAGGAUUAGAUACCCUGGUAGUCCACGCC